UGCAUUCUGAACUGUGGACUCUCAAGAGAGAAUACUGAAGGAAGGCUUUGAAAAUAUCCUAAACUCUGCUGCCACAGGAAGGAAGAAAGCCACAGUGAGGUUUUUCAAUACAGUGUCCACACUGGCUUCAUAUGUGAUAAGGAGACAAGCAAACAGUGGAGAACAGCAGUAGAUAUGAUGCAGAUAAGCAAGAAAGAAAAAUUAAGGACAAAAAGAUGGAGCAGUUUCUAAAAAAACAGAUGGUACACUUGGAAAUAAUACCAUAAAGGCACAUUAUUUUAAACAACUAUUGAUUACACCCUGGGGAUUUGCACCAGUUCCACUCGAUACUGCUUUUAAAAUGAGACUGACAGCAUCAGGAAACACAACACUAAUGAAAUCCAUGACACAGACUGUGAGCAGAUGUCAUGACAAGAUGAGAACAGAGCAAAGCAAAGUGACCACAAACAGUGAUAGCAUGUGAGGAUGAACCAAGCAUCACUAAGAAUAAAGAACAAUGAAAGAGUGAAAUUGCUCUAUUU
rnacentral:lncRNA from 1 species